ensembl:snoRNA
GCAGCGGUGAUGACUCCAACAUGCCAUCUGAGUCCUCGUGCUGAAAUCCAGAGGCUGUUUCUGAGCUG